AUUCAUUAUUAUUUCUCUUGGCCAAAAACUUCACUUGUCAUUUCGUUAAUUGAUCUUCGAUUGGUUAACGGAUUGACGAAGAUGAGUCCGUCCUUCAUUCAGACAAGGUAACCAUAGUUUACAAACAAGUUAUUUUAACACAUCACCCAACCAAACGACAUACAUACAUGCUGCCUAAACUCGACACUCAGAUGAUUAAUGAUCUGAGAAAUCGCAUCAGAUUAAGUUAAAAUUAAGGACUAAAGCAAUUCACGAGCAUAGAAAGUGUAGCCUCCGAGCAAUGCAGAGCAACCAAUUUCUUGACUUGCCAAUUUGCAGCCAAGUUGCUGAAGAAGGAGCGCCCGGGGCUGGCUUCCUGGAUAGCUUGAUCGAGACUGGCUGCCGGGGUCAAUGUUGAUGCUGCACUUGCAUUACCAUUUGAGAGGAGAGUGAAGUUUUGACCCUUUUCACGCAAUUUAUCGACUUCACUCGUCCAAAUAUCUACUAGCCCAGACAUUAUUGCUUCUCGCGAGAGAGAAAAAUAUCUUCUAUUCUUGUGCGUGCGUCUUUUUGUGUGAUUCUGGAAUGAAACCAUCCUGGCUUUCAUACAUUUUAACUUCCUAUAUAUAGAGGACACAAAUACAUAGGGCAAACAUGAAAGAAUUAGAUGGGUUUGCCAAGCAAGGAUGGCGCACACAGUUGCUAGCCAGGUUUGGUGUUUGUAUCUGUGUGCUUUUUUUCAGUUGAUUGAGUUGAACUAUUGAAGUCUGUUACUGUUAAGACACCAAAAUAGUAAUAAUAAAGAAUCUAAAAUUAGUCCACUGUCUCGUUCUCAUGGUUAGUUGUUGCUGUCUUUUAUUUACCGUGGGCAGUAUCAUUCUCAUGGUUUGGUUUAAACAAAAACCGCAGCUCCGCUGUAUCCGGUAUUCUAUUUAUCUGGUCCAAUGGACCAUUUCCUAUUUCAACAUCCGAUCCAAUACGCUUCCUCUUCAUCUCUCGUCUCGUUUUUUGGGUGCAUAAUAUAUUCAAAAUUAAAACCCGUGGCCUGCUACGUUCGGAUCCCUCGAAUCCAAGGAAAGCUUUUUUGAUAGUUAUAGAUUUUAUGAUGGAGCACUAUGCUCAUCAUCUCAUGCUCCAUACUUUUCAUUAUACUUAUCCACUAUUACUAUACAUAACUACUACAAUUGCACUUAUCCACCACUACUACACCCACGGCAGGUACUACAUAAAAUUUUAUGCUGACUUUUCCUACCAAUUUCAAUCAGCAAACCAGUGUAAUUAAUUCCUUUGCUCCAACUAAUUUAAUAUUUUAUAUCUUUUUCAUUAUUUUUUUUCCCUAAAAUAUGUGCACGUAUAGAGCGAGUCUCGCCCACUAAUAAGCACAUAAUUUGCUACUACUGCAUAUGUUCAUGAAAGGCGAAAAAUCGAAUCAAACCUUGGCUAACAAAUGGAAUAAUAUUCCCCAUACUCCGCCUCGGCUUUUUUUUUUUUGCCACAACAUGUAUAAUUCAAUCAUUGAACUGACAUUCAAGUAAUUCUUGGAGGGGAUCAAUAGAUUCUAUCAUCACCAAUGCCAAUUGUAUGGUGUAGUGUAAACAGCAACACAGCAUAUAGAGACACUAGUAAAACAAAUGUUUAAACACCAAGAUAACAACGUGCAAAAAUAUAUUAAAAUUCGGCACUUCAUGAAAUUGGGUUCCCAAUUCAAUCUCAUCCACUCAAUUUCAAAUCGAACACAUUAUCACCAUUAACUGUACCAUACAAUCUAACUUGGACGCCUUAUGCCUGUUAUUAUCCAAAAGAGAUCAGUUUCGAACACAAGUUUAAACUACUAAGCUCAAAAAUUUAAUAACACUACAAUUAAUUUACAUACACAUACAAACUAUAAAGAAUGAUUUGCUUGUUUUAAUCUUUAUCAUGUAUAACAAGAUCCCACAACAUUCAAUCUCUGAAUGUGUUUGGAUAGCAAAUUAUUUAUACAAAUUUAUGUGUUUGUAUCAUAAACAUAUUUUUCAAUUACUAUUUUAUUUCAAAUAAUCACGUUCAAAAAAUGUUAUAAUAUUUUUAAUUCAAAAUAUUAUCCCAAAUAAUCUCCUAUUCAAUAACAACCCACGAAGUCUAACUUCUACUCCGUCUUAUAUCAAUGACAACCCACGAAGACUUUUCCUGGGAAUAGCCGUACUAGAAAGGUACGGGGAGAAAUAAAAUAAGUCAAAUAUAAUUAUUAGCGACGCACAAGAAGAAUUUGAAUGCAUUCUUAAGACCAAUUUAUCGGACCUUAAGGCCCAACUUAGAUGAUAAGGACGAUAGUUAAGUAAUUACGAAAUUCCUAGUUUAAAUUUCAAACCCUCACUUUUUUUCCUUUUCCCUUGCAACGUUUGAAACCUGUACCGCUUCCUCAUAAAGGUGAGACAAACUCAUAUACUAAUAAGACUGAGGAAUUGAAGUAAGUGUAACUUUUUCUGGCACGUGAAUCCCUUGUGUUGGAAUUUGAUGCACUGAAAAUAAAGGAAGCAAGUCAGCAACAUUCGUCCUUUUCAUUGUACUGUAAAAUAGCAGGAAAAGUAGAGCUUAACCGAAUAAAGAAUUUCUGCAAUAGAGAAAAAUGAAUAAAAAUGUCAGGAUAAAGGUAAAGACGGCUAGAGAUCCUCAAAUAUAUUUAAAAUGCGGACAGUAGUUAAAAAUUCAAUACGUGACAUCACAAGUCAGGAGCGAAGGCGCAACUCUGUUGGUCAUCAACCAGAUGGUUCAUGUGCUGAUGCAGCAUGUGUCACAGUGAUAUAAAGCAUUUAGCUGGACCAACAUCCUUAAAGCAUGGCAACAGAAACUCUAGUCCAAUUUGCCAAUCAGCUUAACUUCCCAAGUUCCAGCGCAUUAAGUUGCUCUUUGAUCGGGUUCAGCAGUAAACACGAGUGCUGUUGAGGAUAGCACCCUAGGGAGCCAGCAUUGAGAAUCUGCAAAUCCUGAUUGCCGCUUUUACAAGGCACUGAUCAACUAAGAAGCCCAAGCUUGUGUAACAGGUGCAAGUACUCACAUCUGAGCUGUAAUACAUUUAUCAAUUUAAACGGGGCAGCUGCCUGCUGCAAUAACCUGCCACCAGCCCUUCAAUGAGAUCUUUUGUCAUUUAAAACAAUCCACGCACAGCCAGGAAACGUACACUGAGGACGAGCUCAAGGGACUGGUGAGAAAGCAGAUCUCUUUAGAACCUCAUGCCAAAAAUCCUUUGCACCUCAGUAUCCCUCAGGCACAUUCAUGCGCAAACCAUGGUGCCUUCCAUCUUUUGCAACUCAAAAUAGGGAUUAUGAUUUGAAGAAACAUGACGUGCCAUGGCAAUAGCUGCACCCAAGGCAGUGGAUCACAGUUUCAGUUCUUGCAUUGAGAAGUCGAAGAGCAGCACAAAUCCAGAUACACAUGGAACAUCUCUUACCAAAUUCUGAAGGAAGAGGUUCAUAGAAAAUCAUCCUCUUCAAAAGCUCAAAUCCAUGGUGUCCAACCUUCAUACAUAUUGCAUAAAUUGUCCACACUUGUUGCUUGUUUGAGCAGAAAAUCAACUUGUUCAGCAAUACUAAUAUCUCUGUGAAUGGGGGCAAAAAACUAUUAAUAGAUCCAAUAAUAAGAUACCUGGCGAAAAAGCCAUGGCACGCACAUACCUGUUAUUUGCGAUAUCCUGACCAUCAAGUUUCAUCUCUACUCGCCUUAGUAUUGACAUUGCAUAAGCAUUUUUGCCUACAAGCUCAAACGUUACAAACAGCAUAAGAAGCAUGCUAUUUUCAUUAUCUAAUAAUCCAAAAAAAAAAAAAAUGAAGAUCCCGUAUCACAGUAUUAGAGCAAGGGGAAAACCACAAGAAGCCAAAAAGGCAUGCACCACGAUUUUAAGUUUCCAUAAGCUCUGCACCCUAAUUUCUCAAAUUAAAAAAAUAAAUACAUUUGCAAUAUCAAAAAGCUGCUAUAGUUCUGAAAAGGAACCGCAGAUAAUGCACAACAGCUGCUCUAGCAAUUCAAACCAUGUCAGAUUGCAUCGAAGUGAGGUAAUUACCUCCAAAACUAUAGAAACAUUUUAUAGUAGGUCUCUUACCACCACAAAAGACCCAGAACCUUAAAUAGAGUUUUUAUUAGUUAUCUUACCCCUGGUAGCUCGAGUUCCAGCUUCUGUAGAAAUAAAUGAAGUGUCAUGUGUUCCCCCCACCUUGUCUUCGUUUGACAAGGAAGCUUCCUUUCUAAGCACCGACUUUCCUUGGGAACUUACCUGACUCAGAAAACGGUAGUAUUAUGAGGUUGGCAUGCAUAUAAUUUUUAAGGCAAGCACUUUUAACCUUAAAUCACAAUUAUAUACCUGAAUGCUUACUGAGCCUGAUUGAGUAGGAAAUGAUUUCUCAUGAGGAACAGCCUCAUUUAAGCAAAAUUGGUUUGAAAACUCUCUCGCCUCUCUGUUACUAGUAUCAUACAAAAGUGGUUCGGUCACAUCUGAACCAUUGGAGCUAUCUGGAAGACUAACUUCAGCUAAUGUAACACCAGAAUCCAAGCUUCCGCUCAAGAUAGUUUCAGGAGGAGAUAUCCAGCUUUUCUCUUGCAAUGACAGGUCAUUCAGACGAAGAAGAUCAUGAUAAUUUUCAGGAUAAGAUUUGGAGAAAAUCUCACUCUCAUCAUUAUGAUAUGCAGUGAUAUCACCGGCUAAACCUUGGCUAGACAAAUUAUUGUCCGGCGGCCUUUCCUCUUGGCUGUCCCCCAAUCCUUCAAGAGCCUGAAAAAAAAAAUGGAUAGUGAAUUUGUCUGCUAGGAGCAGUUACUUUGGGGUUUGGAAACGAAAUUCUAUGGGCAAUAUAUAUUUUAGAUUACUUUGUGAAGAUUUCCUGCAUGAAGACUUGCAGUACGUGCUAGCCUGGUCAACAUGGAAUAUAACCCCUUCACAGAGGAUGUGAGAGGUGGUACCAAAGGCUUAAAUGCUUGACAAGCCUCCGUGGUUCUUAUAUAAUAAGACUGGAAUAUAGCUUGACCAUGAAUUGGGGAUAUUUCCAUCUGCGUUUCUUGCUCCUUGCCCAUAGCAUCAGUCAUAGCAGCAACAUCCUUAGACAACAGAGAUUCAAGCGGCAGCAAAAUAGCAUUCACCUGUAUAGAAUGUGACUCAUUUAGAAAUGAAGACAAAUUUCACUGCAAAGAACCUUGAAAUUAUGACUUCAAACUGAACAAAGGAAACUGAAUAAAUUGAACAAAGGAACAUGAAGACCUUAGAAAGAUCUUCCAUAAGAGAGAAGUGUAAGGCAGCAGCCUCCUUUCCCAAGCUGUGAACAUCAUGUAGACCUUCUGUUAUUGCCAGGACCUAUAGAAAAUGGAGGAGUUCGCCAAAAAUAAGUACUGAGCAAUGUUUAUGUUUAAGGCCUUAAAAAGGCGAUGACCUUUGGACAACUUUCUGAUACUUGUACCUCCCACAAAAUAAGCUACUUGUUACAUUCAUUGAAGAAUAGGUUUAAAUAACAAUAAAGUUUAAUUUAAGCACAAAUUACUUUUAUGAGUAGAAGUUAUACAAACAAGGGAUGAUAAGGCUUAUCAUCACCACAGGGUAAAUCAGUGCAGAGGAAUAUUCAAGAAGAUAAUGGGAUUGAAGAUGAUUUUAUUGGUAAGGCAAUAAUAAAUGCAUAUUUCUCCACAGUCAAGUCUAGGACAUGAAGUUAAACAAUUUCUCAUCGAGACAGCACAGCCAAAAAGCACAUAUACGAGCUAUCCAAAGUGGAAAUUUGCAAUGGUUUAAAGCAAAAGAAAGUAUCACAAUUAAUUUAACUACCAUUAUAGCUAUGUGGCAAGAGUUCAAGUACAGACAUAAUAAGGAGCAGUAAAGGUUCAGACUAAGUUCUAAAGCAAAAAGCACACAUCAAAAGCCAAUUUCCAAGAUGCCUCAAGCAUGGAACCAAAUUCUGAAGUAUUGAACCAAGUGAUGAAUGACUCAAACUUAGACCAACUGAUGAAUGCAACAUACCUCCUCAAGCAUAGAACCACAUUCUGAAGUCAAAGUUGUAUGGCCUUUGGUAAUGCCCGCAAAAGCUGAGAGUGCUACACUGGCUUCAUAAGCAGAAUCCCGCAUUGCAAGUAGUGUGCUCUGCAAAUCACCUGCACAACAAUAGGCAGAUCCUAAAGUUGUGCAUAUAGAGAGGACUUCAUAUUUAUCUAUACUCAAGUUUUAACUCUAUUUUUUUUAAUUUUUAAAUUUCUUGCUAUUUUGAAUUACAAGAAUGCAUCUGCUCUCUGCUCUAAGAUGGUUGUUUUCUGAGCAUCUUGUAACUCGAUGGAAGCAGUCAAUCAGUAACUUAAAAGGACAAGCUUCACCUAUCACGGAUAAUUACACUUCUCCAAUGCCGACAAAGAACAAGAUAAACCAAAUAAUUCUGUAAAGGGACAUACUAAACAUGCACAUACCCGUAUUGUCACCAAAAUUUCUGUUUCUCAUUUUUUAGUGAAAGAUAAAUUAGCAAAAAUAAACUAGUCCUUUUCAUUUACCAAUAAACCUUGCACAUGGUCCUUAAUCUGGGCUGGGGAUAUAUAGUUCGACAUAAAUUUUUGGAAGUCAAAUUCAAUUUCUCUCGUAUGACUAACUUAACAUGGGCUCACAACACAGACAUAUAUGGCCACUACAAUCUUGUUGAUGAUUUAGUCAGUAAAUCAAUCAAGCAAAGUUUGGAGACUGGGAACUAUCAGCAUUUUCACUCAUUAAUGGCAAUUUGUAAGUUCCAGAAUGAUUCAAUUGAUAACUUAUCAAAGUAAUUUAGAAUCAAUAAUUAUUGAAAGUUGUUGCCAACAACUAUGGGAAAAUCCUUUUUACUUAAUUUAAAUGGCCUACUAGGUACAUAAUCAUUUGGUAAUUCAUAUUCUCCAUAUCCCUCUUUUUGGUUUCAUUUCAAGGUGAAGCAGGUCAAAGUAAAAACUGUUUCUUUCAUGUUCAUCAGUAAUUUCCUGAUCCAAACUCAUUAUGGACAAAAUGGGAGUUAGAAUUCAAGUUCUGGACAGGUCUCUUCAGCCUUUUUCUAUUUUUCGGUAUUCUAUAUGACCACAUAAGAAAUAUUGGUAUGCUAUUUGACCAAAUAAGAAAUCUAAAAGGGGCAAUUUUACUGGCUAACCUCUUGAAAGAUGGUGUUCAGGCAUCAAGUGCGGUAUUUAGAACCAGAGAUCAUAUAUGGGAAAACUAUCCUGAAAAUUAGUCAGAUGUAAUUUAACUAGCAGAUUUCAUGGAAUGUUAAGUUGGGUUUGGUUUUUGCUCGGAUAGCUGGUGCUUACGCUCUUUCCCAUCUUGAGAUCCCCAUUCACUCAAUGCCCAUCCUUUCUAAUAUUUCUCUCCCAUGUAAUCUCAGACUAAUCAUCGAUCAAUACGAUCUUCCUUAAAAGCGAAAACCAAUUUUUGAAUGCAAUUCCUUGUGGUAAUAAAAAGUUCACACAUUAAAAUUUAUCAACCUAAAACUAUAAAAAAAUUAUCGUACAAAAGAGUUCACAAAUUCAUGGCAAAUAAAGAAAUAAUGGAUUAAGAGUUCACAUCUGAAAACCAGAUUACCUGACGCUGAUUUCACUUUAACAGAGGCGACGCAAAGUUCAUUACUUGCAGAAAAUAAACCACUAGAAGCAGCUUCCAUAUUGCUCUGAGCAAACUUCCAUUCCUGUUCAGUACCUGAAAGAGGAAAGCUUUCCAUACAUUCAUCAACAAAGAAAGAAGAGCGUAUAAAACCAACAAUAAAAACCAAUUUUAUCAUUCAUCCAAUGAAUAAAGUAAAUGUUUGUCCUCACGUGUAAAGGAAUGAUAAGUAAUGUCCAGUUUGGUCAGAACAUUCAAGUAAGCUUGCUGCCAGGUCCUGCCAUCAGAAACAGUCCUCAAAGGAUAGAGCUCUUCUGAAUUUCGAAAUAUCCCAUCUCUUGAUGCUUCAAACUCCAAUAUUAAAAUGCAAAUUUUCAUUAUCUCUGAUGCCUUUUCUCUAGCUUCCCAUAACAACUGCCUCCGUCUCAUUAGAUGAUCAUGGAAUUCAGGCGGUAUCCCUGAAUUCCUAGUCAAACUAUUUCCAGUUGCACUAGAACUUGGACCACCACAAGCCCAGACCAUUGCUCUCUCAAGCUGCCCUUCAGCUGUGACAGAAGUUUGCUCACAAGCUUGCAAGCUCUCAAGUGAUCUAGCUAUUCUUGCAAUGGAUGAUUGUAAACUUUCCACCAACUUAGGUCUGCUAAUGUUUAAAAUAACUGGAAGUAAGUUAUCCUGACUUGCAAGAAACUUAUGGGAGAUAAGCCUGUUAUGCUGCAAAGGGUUUAGGGUAAUAUCAUGCAUCCAUUCCAUUUGAACAAUUUCAAGGCUGGCCUUUAGAAGAGCCUCUUUUAAUUCAUUAACCUGCCUUUCCAUGAUGGAGGCAGCCGAUCUUGCUGCUCUGACAGUUUCAUGAGCACUGCAGUACUUUUCAAGCAUGACUUGGACUCUUUUUACUGCCCCAACAUCUCUCACCGGAUCAAAUUGAAGGUCCCUUCCUGUCUCAUUCAUAUGCUUCAAGGACUCACACUCCGUGUCUAAUCUUACCAAUAAGAUAGGAGCAACACGUUCUCUUAAAUAAUGCUUAAUAUGUUCUUGAAUUCGCGCUUCAAUUUUCUGCCUGACUGCAUUUACUAGUUGAUCAAAUCCCAAAUUCUGAUUAACAAAUGAAGAUACAUCAUGUGUGCAGGAAUCAAGAAAAGAGUCAACAAGAGAGACCUUCCAAAUAAAGAAGGCAUGACUACUUAGCACGCCUGAAAACUUCCAUACAUAAUCAGAUAUUGGUCCCGAAUUGACCAAAUCUUCAAGGUGAGAAUUUCUACUUGAGCCAGAUGCUGCUAAUUUAUCAAAUGAAGCCAAAGCUUGAUCAACUGAUUCCAACUCAGAGAAGGGCUCCAUUAGUGCAGCGAGAAGAGCUUUGCUUCUUGAAACAUGCGGCUCUCUCUGCUGAUCAGUUCUGAUUUGAGAUUGCAAAAGAUGUUCAGAUGUCAUCAAAGCACUUAAAAUAUUUGCCUCUUUCUUUAUAAGAGAACUAGUACGGAAGUCCUUCUGGUUCCAUGUCUGAUGAAGCUUAUCCAGCUGUGCUCUGCAAGCUUCUUCUUGGGAGGCAAGCUCCUCAGCUUCUUCCCAAGACAAAUGAUCUCUGCCCUUGACGGCAGCUUCUUCAAGAGCCAACUGUUGCUCAGUGAUGAGACCAACCUUAACAAAGUAAUUCUGCUCAAGUUCAACCAACGAAACCCUCUCUUGUUCAACCUCUACAAGUUGCUCCAGAGAUGUAUCAAUGGAUCCCUUGAUUUGUGAGAGUGAUCCAAACACAUCCAUUACUUCUGAGUUGAAUGAAACAACACUCCUUAUUACAUCAGGUAGAACAACUUCAAUCAUUUGGCUAGCAAACCGCUUGCAGGAAAGCAGGCUGGUCUGAAACAUUGAAGCCCAGUUGUCUCGAGACAAGCAGUUAACACGGUCUCCAUCUACAUUACCUCUUGAAUCCCCAUCCAUAUGUUGAUUGACUUCAUUAAGAAACCCUGCUACAAGUAAGCAUUUUUGUAUUUGCUCUUCCAAGUAAUUGAAAAUAUUUCCAAGAUCAGACUCUGGUCUGUCAUCUGAAUUUCCCCAAAUGGAACCAUUCAAGUUAUUAACUAUUGCCUUCUUGACAUCAUUAUACAAAGUAAUGGCAGCAUAAUUUAGGAUAGUCCGAACAUUUUCCUUCUUCUCUUCAAUAUCUCCCUGAGAUCUAGGAUCCUCAGGAACAUCAACAUUUACUGUUCCCAAAGCAAAUGCAUCUGCUUUCUCCUCAGACCUGGAAGACCGCAUAUAGUUCAUGAAAGUAGACAAGAGACAAUCCUUAGCUUCUGAUUCAGUCUCUGGACCAAUGGAGUCCAGAAGUUCUGUGCACUCUUUUUCCAUUUUCUCUAUUUCUACUGCAUAUUCUCCCACCUUAAAACAAAGUUCAUCGUAGCUACUCUGAGCAGAAUUGAACCAAUUCCCAUGUAACUUUGCAAUGAGCUCAGAAGCCUGUCUCCUAGAAACGGAGAGAACAUCAGAGGAGAGCGUACUCAUUGAAAGCUGCAGAACUUGUGCCCAACCAUGUACUGGGCUGGUAGUCAGAUAAUUCAAUGGUAGGAUCCGCUGCAGAGCCAGUGCAUACGUUUGGAGUGUUGUAACUGCAGAAGAAAGUCCAUGAUCCAGCUCAGCCACUAAUAGAGAAACUUCCCUAUCUAUCUCAUAGCACUGAACUUGCGUGGGUUCAGGAACAAUGGUCAAUGGAACCCCAGCCUGAAGAACAGCAGAUGUCAGAGAUAAAGAUUCUUCAGCACCAGUUAGCCUAAUCGCUUCAAUUUCUGGUAUUGACCGACUUCUCAAUGCAUCAAGUAUCCUUCCAUGCUCUUCAAUCCAACUUGUUGCCUCUUCAGCUUUCUCCAUCACUGCAGCCUGCGCUUGGGCAAAUUCCCGAGCCUGUAUUUCCAAUGCAGCAUGGAUCGUUUCGGAGUUGCAAGAUGCUUCAGCAACAAUAGACUUGGCUGAUGUUUCAUGGAGAGCAAGAUUGGACCUCUCUUGGUCAACCCGAUGAAAUAAAGCAGAGACAAUCUCAUACUGAUUUAAGAUGCUUACAAAUCUCUGGACAUACAUUGACAAAAAUUUCAAGGGUAAAAAAGACCAAGUAAGGGAAACUUAAAGGAAAAUAAGAGAGUGAGAGGGAGGGAGGGAGAUUAUAUACCUCAAGGGAAGAUUCAAUAGCAGGUAAGACAGCUAGGAGAAGAUUGUGAUGCUCCUAACCAAAAUCAAAAGAACAGUCAUGCAAAUAAAUAUAAAUACACAGUGAACCACUGCAUCAAUUCUUGUAAAAAGAGAUAGCAACUGCACCUCAAAGAGCAUGAUAUGAAACAAAAUCACUCCUGUAGUGUAUUUAGAGAUGCCAUAGUUCUAUUGGACAGAAAAUUAUGCAAUACUCAAAGUUAGGCAUGACACUGAUAAUAACAACUCUAAAAACAUCAGUACCUGCAAUGGAACCCGAAUUUCUUGCAUACGUGAUGCAAACAAACUCAGGCUCACUGCAAGCUCCAUGCCUUUUCUCUCCUCACCAACAAUUGCUGCAUCAUCAUGAAAAUCUCCACGUGUCCAUUCCACAAGUGGAUCCCAAACAAAAACUUCAAGCAACAUCAAGAUGAUAUCCUUAUUCUUCUUCAGAACACCAAGAACUGCUUCACAGCUUGCUCUAAAAGCGCCUUCAAUCCCAGUUAAACCUAGAGCUGCUUCAAUUGUCUGAGUCAAGCGAAAUGGUACAAUCUCAGGAAUUUUUAGUCGCUGGCCUUUAUCAAAACACACAUUGUAAUCAAUGUGCAAGAUUUCUCCAGUAGAAAAAUCAAUAGGAAUAUUAUCCAAAUGCCGGUCACCCAGUCCUAGAAUGUGGCCAACAAUGCUCAUGGUGGCUACACUGCCAGAGAACCUACAAGGAAAGGAAUUAAAUAAAUGAACAAAAGUUGAUUGUCCACAAUUAUUUCACAUGAAACAAAAAUUUAUCUAAUUAUCCACCAACUGCUGCAGAUCAAUCCAUUUCCCACGGCAACCGUAUAACAAGCAAUUGAACAUCAUCUUCAUGAAAGAACUCUUUUUACUAGAGAGGAGCAUUGGGUAGUCAGAUACUGUCAGCAAGCAUCGUUCCAACAAAAUUUAAGUCCUCAGUCAGCACUAUUUCUCACACUUUGGACCCUUUCACCAAAAGCAAAACACCUUAGAUGUGGUGAUGCGGCAUGAACAACGCAUUAAUUUAGUGAUCUAAACUUGUGAGAAUACAAGGAAGCAAACAGUAUCUGAAGCAAAUACCCUAGGAAGAUGUUAAAUCUCAUAUCCUGUACGCCAUCUAGUACUUAUUUAGCUAAAUAUGUCUUAUACAACCAUAAUAUUCAUUGCAAUAAUCAGCAAUAGUCGAGAUAGAAGUGCUGCGAAUGAAUCACAUAACUUCCUAUGCCUGUUGAACACUUCAGGGUUCCCUUCUUAUCAUUUCUUCUACAGUAUCUGACAGGCAAACCGUAUACCAGACAAAAACCAAGUCAACCUUUUGGAUGGAUGAUCUAGUGGACUUUAAAAAGCCAACAGUAAUGAAUAAGCACAUUCCAGAAUCA
rnacentral:lncRNA from 1 species